GACUGGGUUGAGGGUCGUGGGGUCCUAGCGCCUGAUCGUAAGCGGGGCGGAGAAGGUGGGCGGGGCUGCGCUGCGUUCUCUCCUGACGCGCGGUUUAGUUGGGGAAACGCGCUGUGGUUCCCCUUUUGGCUGGAAGAUCCGGAGCCUGAGGAGAGCCAGCCGCAGGAGUCCUGACAUUGCCUAGCCAAAGCUCGUCGCGUCUGCCUGAGCGGCCGCUCCUCUACCAAAGGCACUAAGAUUCCCCAGGAAACCCCCUGAGGGGCUAGCAGCCUCCUACUAGUAGGUUUCGGUCCCAAGAUGCUGAAGGUCAGAGCCUAGGAAGACUCGGAAACAAGAUUGGAUUUUAUUGUAAUUGCAGCUGAAAACUGUUGAGUAAGGCAUGACUGUUAGAGCAAGGAGGUGGAAACAAAGAUGUUUGCGCAGAUAACUAAAAACAAACCAAAUAACCAGCAACUGGAGGCGUGGCCAGAUACACUGGAAUAUCCAAACCACAGAAAACUAUGUAAGCACUGUAAUAGAAUGAAGUGGAGCUUCAACAUGAGAAAAAAGUGAAUUGCAUAUCCAGGAUCUCUAGUCCUUUGGCUUCCUUGAGAUUCAGUCAGUUGGUGGCACCAGGAAGCGAUCAAGAGGCAAGAAGAGAGAGAAGUCGAGUGUCUCCUCCUCUUUCUCUUCCUGCUUGAAGACAGAGGCUGCAUGCCGCUCCCCACCUCCAGCCCAGCCUCCCCCACCCUCUCUACUCCCCCCUCCUCCUCCACCAUUUCUGCUCUUCCUGAAUUCCAUAAGAUUAUUAUUUCCUCCCUUUGUCCCUUUGUCUCUAGGAAUACUAUUCUCUGGGUGCCUCAGCAUCCCUUGUUUACUUCCAUGACCUGGUCUACCCAUCUGUAAGUAUUAUUAAAGUCUCUUCAUUUGAACCAUC